UACUUUUAUUACAGUGAUACAGGAUGUAAUGAUUCAUAUGAAAUAAGAACGUAAACAUACAGAAGAAAGAACAAAUAUACAGAAAUAUAAUCCAGCACUGAUGAGAAUGAGAAUUAAACUUACUGGCAGACUUCUGAGUUCUGACAUCAACCUUCAAGUUACAGAAUAUUAUCAACUUUAACAGCAGUUCAUCAUUCAACAGCGUGGAGACGCAACACAAAGAGAUCCAGAGAUAGGCAGACUUAACAGGAAUAUAACCUGAGGGCAGUUUAAAUGACUGUAAAUCUACAGUUCUGCUGUCCUAAUCUGCUGAGUCACUCUGGCUUCACAAGAUCUGAAUCAAUCAUGUCCAGCUGGAGGAGCCCAGUGUUCAACGGGACAAAAUAUAUAUCAAAAUAAUCCAGAUCACUGGCCUGGAAAACAUCAAACACUUUUUCAUAAGAUUGUAUUAAUGGUAAAUACACAACAACAAACUGAUUUAUUAAUUUGAUUACAUUCAUAUCAGUUCUUUUUCAUUCACUGAGAGCUUCUUCUGUCGGCCUUCUUGAGCCAACUCUUCCCUAUUAGCACGGGGCUAAAGUGUGUGUGUGUGUGUGUCUCUCAUUGUGUGUGUGUGUGUGUGUGUGUGUGUG